rnacentral:precursor_RNA from 2 species
UUUUUGCUCCACAUAUGCAUGCUUUCUACGAUUCGGAGAUCAGUGCAGCCCAAAGAUCACAUUGGAUUCUCCUCACUACACUCCAUCUUCUAACCUAGUCUGCAUCACGACUAGGUGCAUCCGUUGCCAAGUUCAUCCAAUAUAUGCCAACCGCAUUGCAAGGACGACCAUAUGCACACACACACCACAGUCCACAGGAGACAGAUAGCUAGCUAGCUUACUCUUUAGUCAUACAUACACUUAUAAAUAGCCACCGGCUCUGUGCUCAUCAGCAAGGCAGAUUAAACAAGUGAAGUGGUCCACAUCAAAAAUGAAGUAAUCAGGUCUAGGGAGUCAAAAUUUGGUUGGUUGUCCACUGGAGUUCUUCUCAAUCCACUUCAGUAGAUAGCUAUGGCUAGGCCUCAUUGCAUUGCACUGUUACAUAACUGUGAUCAUGGGGCCAAAAGCUAGCUAUGUAUAGUGAAGUGCUUGGGGGAACUCCAGUUGACACUCAGCAUUUUCAAGUUAGGUAUGUAAGUGCUUGUACUUUAUGAAUUUGUAAGUGACAGAGAAUGAUUAGGUUUGGAGUCCCUAGGAGUUCCUUUCAAGCACUUUACGACACACUGUAUUGAGAGUUGUCGUGAAGUGUUUGGGGGAACUCUUAGUG